GACGAACCGUGCGAACGUUAUUCGGAAUCACUGGGCUUAAAGGGCGCGUAGGCGGGCCGCCAAGUCCGGGGUGAAAGCCUCCAGCUCAACUGGAGAAGUGCCUCGGAUACUGGCGGCCUCGAGGGAGAUAGGGGCGUGCGGAACUUCCGGUGGAGCGGUGAAAUGCGUAGAUAUCGGAAGGAACAUCAGUGGCGAAGGCGACUUUCUGGACAAAUACUGACACUGAGGCACGAAAGCAUGGGGAGCAAACAGG
rnacentral:rRNA from 1 species